AAAAGCUUCUCCUGUAAAAUUACAUUUUUCAACAUACGAUUAUAUCGCUUGAAUGCGAUGAUGUAUGUAUAUAUAUCAUAUGUAUCUAGAAAUUUGCUAAGCCAAAGAACUUAUUUGAGCUGUCAUCAACUAUGUUUCAGAUGUCACUUCCUACAAUUUUCUAAACACUAAUAAAAAGCGAAUUGUAAAAUCUUAAUUAGCAAAUUGCACAGCCCAACCGCAUGGAAAAAUUCAAAUCACGGCGAACGGGUUGCCCGAGCUGAGCUGAGAUCAAGCUGCCUGCAACGGCUGGGGUCUAAGUCAUUGCAGCAUUUUGCACCUGUCGUCCUACGCAUGUGAAAAUCAAGCGCAGCUUUAAUUGAUACAACAACAGCGGCUACAACUGACGAGGGGAGCCCACAACGGGGCCGAGUUGCUUCUGCCCAGUUGCUGCACGUGUUUGGCUACGACUAGGAUACCGAAGUGGGAUUUGAAGUAGGCCCAGGGGCUCGAGUCGCGGCAAAAAUGUUGUAAAAAAUGCGUUGAGCUGCGCAGCUGCUAGGCUGUGAGGUUGGGGCCAAGACUCUGCUUGGGGGAAAAACUGAGCCCUUGACAACAACAACAGCAGCAACAACAGCCGCAGCAAGCGAAUGCAACAACUGCAGCAACAACAUGGCAAAGUUUCGCAGCCUUAAAUGGGCAUUGAAAUUAAAUGCAGCUGCUUUAAUGACGCUGCUGCCUGCACUUGGGCUGCGUAUCAAAAUGGCCUAAACAAAUCUGGGAAUAUGGCACAGAGACUGUUGCUCUGACUUCGGCUGGCUGGCUGACUGGCUGACUGGCUGGUGGGCGUUGCAUGUGGCAGUUGUUGCAUGGGCGUGGCGCCACAAACAUGAAAUGCAUACAAGCGACUGCGCCGGUGGCCGCUGCAGCGUGGUAAAAGGCAGAAGCUGCCAUGCCAGAGCUCCAUCAAAUGUUUGCUUAAGACGACAAGCAUCAAUCCAUGGCCGUCCACUCAGCUGUGUCUCUGU